AGGAGCAGAAUUAACAUUCAGUAACCACUGCUGCCCUUCAAGAAAGCAUCUCACGGCCCUUCAGAGUAACUUGUUUCUUGUGAACCCAGCUGGCAAUUAAAAUGGAAGUCCUGGAGUGAAGAAGGAACCAAGGAAAAGGAAAGAACCAGCAUAACUUGAAAUUCAUGGAUAUUGGAGAGUCUUAGCUGGGACCAGUGAGAUGCAGCCAGACUCCAGCACAUGAAGGAAGGAUCAGUAUUUGCAUUCAGUAAAUUAGGAGAAUAGAAGUAUUUCCCAGUGAUGGGGCUUCCUCAAGGCCUUCCUGCCUAUCUGUGGCAGAUCUGUGAAAAAUGAAGAUAAAAAUCCCAUGAAUCCCAAAAAAGGGCAGCACAGCAUCUCAGCUGGGAGUGCAGCUCCUCCU
rnacentral:lncRNA from 1 species